rnacentral:rRNA from 1 species
CUCGUCACACUAUCAUUAACUGAAUCCAUAGGUUAAUGAGGCGAACCGGGGGAACUGAAACAUCUAAGUACCCCGAGGAAAAGAAAUCAACCGAGAUUCCCCCAGUAGCGGCGAGCGAACGGGGAGGAGCCCAGAGCCUGAAUCAGCAUGUGUGUUAGUGGAAGCGUCUGGAAAGGCGCGCGAUACAGGGUGACAGCCCCGUACACAAAAGCGCAUGUGCUGUGAGCUCGAUGAGUAGGGCGGGACACGUGGUAUCCUGUCUGAAUAUGGGGGGACCAUCCUCCAAGGCUAAAUACUCCUGACUGACCGAUAGUGAACCAGUACCGUGAGGGAAAGGCGAAAAGAACCCCGGCGAGGGGAGUGAAAAAGAACCUGAAACCGUGUACGUACAAGCAGUGGGAGCCCCACCACCAAAGCAUUCUCUGGUGUUGAAGGCCCUGCAAAGCAGCAUCGCGGUGGCGGAGCGUCGUUUGCGACGCCCAACACACAAAACAAGCGGUGAGUGCUUUGGGGUGGGGUGACUGCGUACCUUUUGUAUAAUGGGUCAGCGACUUAUAUUCUGUAGCAAGGUUAACCGAAUAGGGGAGCCGGAGGGAAACCGAGUCUUAAU